rnacentral:sRNA from 1 species
AUAUACGGAUUUAUAUUACAUGGAUGGAAAUUUGUAAAAUUAACUCGUAAAAUAUGGAAAACAUGUCAAAAAAUUACUAACUUUCAAAUUUGGAACGAUUUAAUCUUGAACUUCAUGAAAGACAAAUAAAUCAUAAAGUUUUUGUUGUGUUUCAAAAUAAAUGACAAAGUUAUUGUUGACUUGGCAUUUCAGUAAUGUCGUUAAAUAGGUUAACAAAAAUAUUUUACGGCGUUAAUGUCUCGUUUAUUUGCUCUGUUAAAACAAAACGACGUCAUCUACUUCAACUUCUUUCUUUCGUUUUCUCUUCUUUCGAUUUGAUUUGGGCUGAGGAACAUCGUUCGUCUCCUCGCCUGAUGGGAUUCGAAUCGAUUCGGCUUCUAAGGAUUUGAGAUAAUAAAAUCAACUUGGGGAUUUAGAGUUUAAAUUUGUUUCAACAGACAAACGACGUCGUGUGUGUCUGCAAUAAACGAUAUCGUUUUGUUCUAACAGAGCAGAUAAACAGAACAUUAACAUCGUAAAAAAUCUUGUUAACCUAUUUAACGACAUGACUCAAAUGGCAAGUGUUGGAGCUGGAUUCCCCUCCAGGAAU